AUUCUUUUUGCCAGCGCUUAAUUGCGCGGCGAAAAAACCUUACACACAGUGUUUUUUGUUAUUACAAGAACUCUUGCUUUGGUCUGGACUAGAAAUAGUUUGGGCCAGAGGUUUACUGAACUAAACUUCAAUAUUUAUAUUGAAUUGUUAUUUAUUUUAAUUGUCAAUUUGUUGAUUAAAUUCAAAAAAUCUUCAAAACUUUCAACAACGGAUCUCUUGGUUCUCGCAUCGAUGAAGAACGCAGCGAAAUGCGAUAAGUAAUAUGAAUUGCAGAUUUUCGUGAAUCAUCGAAUCUUUGAACGCACAUUGCGCCCUUUGGUAUUCCAAAGGGCAUGCCUGUUUGAGCGUCAUUUCUCUCUCAAACCUUCGGGUUUGGUAUUGAGUGAUACUCUUAGUCAAACUAGGCGUUUGCUUGAAAUGUAUCGGCAUGAGUGGUACUGGAUAGUGCUAUAUGACUUUCAAUGUAUUAGGUUUAUCCAACUCGUUGAAUAGUUUAAUGGUAUAUUUCUCGGUAUUCUAGGCUCGGCCUUACAAUAUAACAAACAAGUUUGACCUCAAAUCAG
rnacentral:misc_RNA from 1 species